rnacentral:rRNA from 1 species
AUGAAGUUACCUAUGUUAGCAUCAAGAAGUAUUAGAUCUGGGACUCUGUUGCACUUUUGUGAUGUUCUAUCAAUGGUACUUAUGAGAGACAAUGCUUUUGUAAUGAGCCUGAACUCUGAUAUGAUGCUCCAUGACAGUUGCUUUAUUACUUACCUCUGUGUUGAAUCUGCCUCGUGUAUUGUGCAAAGUUGUGGUCUUCUGCUCUGUUAUGCUGAAAGCUUGCUUGUUAUCUUGCUUGCUUGGUUUUCUUUGCCUGGUCUCUUCAAAAGAACAGUAAUAGUUAUAGACUUGACAUUAUCUGAACAUGAAUAG